UGUUCUGUGACUUAGUUAGUUAAAGCGCCGGUCUAGCGAACACGGAGUCGUGGGUUCGAAUCCCAUCAGAACGC
rfam:Aedes albopictus isolate Foshan contig7499, whole genome shotgun sequence.